rnacentral:rRNA from 1 species
UGGGGAAUUUUGGACAAUGGGCGCAAGCCUGAUCCAGCCAUGCCGCGUGCGGGAAGAAGGCCUUCGGGUUGUAAACCGCUUUUGUCAGGGAAGAAAUCUUCUGAGUUAAUACCUCGGGAGGAUGACGGUACCUGAAGAAUAAGCACCGGCUAACUACGUGCCAGCAGCCGCGGUAAUACGUAGGGUGCAAGCGUUAAUCGGAAUUACUGGGCGUAAAGCGUGCGCAGGCGGUUUUGUAAGACAGAGGUGAAAUCCCCGGGCUCAACCUGGGAACUGCCUUUGUGACUGCAAGGCUUGAGUGCGGCAGAGGGGGAUGGAAUUCCGCGUGUAGCAGUGAAAUGCGUAGAUAUGCGGAGGAACACCGAUGGCGAAGGCAAUCCCCUGGGCCUGCACUGACGCUCAUGCACGAAAGCGUGGGGAGCAAAACAGGAUUAGAUACCCUGGUAGUCCACGCCCUAAACGAUGUCAACUGGUUGUUGGGAAGGUUCCUUCUCAGUAACGUAGCUAACGCGUGAAGUUGACCGCCUGGGGAGUACGGCCGCAAGGUUGAAACUCAAAUGAAUUGACGGGGUCAUAGCUGUUU